AUCAACUUGUGCCUUCUUUGCCAGUUCAAGCUGCUAUAGAGUCCAUUUGCCCAGCUGAAUUAAGUUUCUCCAUCCUUCUGCUUGUGAGUGCACAUAAACGGGCGACGCUGUGUUAAUCCUGCAGAGUGAUCAUUGGAAGGAAGUUUGCACCAGUGCUGCGAUGAAAUCAUCUUUAAAGACAGUGGAUCUCUUCACAUCACAGCCAUCCCAACUCUUGUUUCUCCUUUUAUGUAAGCUCGUUCUAAAUUUUCUUUGUGCUUUGUCUCCUUGGACAUUAGUUGUAACAUGUAUUAAAAAGGAUAUUAUUCAAGUGAGCCUAAUAAGAAGAAAUUCGUUUCUCAUUUUUCUAGUAUAAAUUGACUGGAUUGCAGUAAUUCCAUAUCAAGUAUUGACUUCAUCCCUUGAAGUUGAGAUUAGAUCAUCAAUUCCAUUCUGGACUGAUGUGGAUUAAGACCA